UAUUUGACCUUCUCACCUGCGGACGUAACGGACCAGCUCUGUCUUCAAGACGCCGUGAGAACUCACCUGUACGUCUUGUGACGUCAGAACUAACAGCCUUUGGUUCCUGGAGAGUCAAAGAGCCCUGCAGAGACCUUAAAGACUGGGAAAAGGUCGUCAGACUCUCCCAAGACACUUCUGGAAAAGUCCAGGAAGGCACUAGAUCCAUCUAGUCUUACUUACGACAGUGUCACUAGGCAGGUGGUGUGUAUCUAUCUGUAGGGUCAGACCAGGCAUGGACGGGAGAGAACAGGAGACAAUGGAGGAAGACGAGGAGUCCGGGUCAGAGGAUUCCGGGUCUGAAGAGUCGAGUUGGGAGGACGAGGAUGAAGACGAGAAGGCGCUGUGGAAGGCUGCAGAGGAAGGAGACACGGACAGAGUGAAGCAGCUGUUAGCGGGGGGAGUCAACCCUAAUGCUGCUGG